rnacentral:lncRNA from 1 species
CGGAAAGCAAACCCAGAUUUUGAAUUUUCCUUCAGCAACCACAGACCACAAGAUGGCAUUCUUGGACUGAGAGUGCUUCCGCAAAUAAUUCUGCUAAUAUUUGUGCUGCUGUUCGCAGCAACUCUGGAAGCUGAUCUGCAGCACAAUGUGCCACAUUGGGGUACACAGCCGGCGCCCCUGAAGUGAGCAGCAGCAUGUUCUGAUGAGCUCUGGUACCAUCAAAAGUGGCAGCUCAGGAUGGCUCAGAAAUACACAUGAGGAGAGAUUUUUUGCAGAUUUUCAUCACAUACAGGUGCAGCUGUCCAGCUGCACUUCUCAGGAGACAUGAGGGGAGCAAAAUUUGUGAACAAGCUCUACCUGCUCGUUAUUGUUCAGAGCAUCUAAACUGGCCGAGGCUUGAGCCUGUGAUACAGAAAAGACAAAAUCCCAAUAUGAAGGAUAAAAAGGAAAUUAUCUGGGAGAAACAUAACAGAAAUAAGACUUGUAAGUCUGUCUUUUUUUUUGCACUGGCUUUUACUGUUAUUUUUGGAAUUACUGUUGCUUUCUGAGGAUCAAAAUGAGUUGCUAUUAUCUUUCUGUAAAGUGUAGAGUACACGAAAUCAUCAUGACUUUUUUCUCACCACAGUUAGUUAACAGGAUAAAGGGUGAUAUGCACCGAAAUAACAAAAGCUACAUCCUUCAGAAAAGAGGAUAAAAGCUGAGGUAGCCGAGGAGAACUGCAUUUUCCGAGGUCUUCUGACACUGUGCCCAUCCUCUGUACAUCUGGGCAGCUGCAACCUUGGAUUAGUUCAGAAAAUGGUGGUAAUGGUAGCCUGGCAGGAGCCAAUGCAGGCAUGUAGCUGCAAGAAAUUGCCAUCAGCAUGACUACCUCUGAUGUGAUAGCUUUCCUGUUUUUUUUCCCUCUUCCAACUUUUGAUCUACAUUAGUUUUACACCAAUGUAUGAGACUAUAUUUCCUUACAGUAGCUCUUUUCAAUAUUGCAUUUAUAAAUUCCCUAAAUGUCUUUAUUUCUCAGAUUUCUUUACGUUGCCACCAUAUUCUCCUUCUACAUUCCAGAUCUGAAAAGGAAAUUUUAAACAAAACUGGAUCUACUGCCAGUCUUUUUGACACUUUUGACCACAAAACAAAGCAUUGGUAUUUAUA